rnacentral:rRNA from 1 species
AGGGUUUGAUCAGGGCUCAGAACGUACGCUGGCGGCACGCCUAACACAUGCAAGUCGAACGAAGUAGCAAUACUUAGUGGCAAACGGGUGAGUAACAUGUGGGUAUCUGCCCUUCGGCCUGGAAUAACAUGAGGAAACUUGUGCUAAUACCGGAUAAGUCUUUUAAGAGAAAGCUUUAUGCACCGAUGGAUGAGCCCGCACCUGAUUAGUUAGUUGGUGAGGUAAUUGCUCACCAAGACAAUGAUCAGUAGCUGAUUUGAGAGGAUGAUCAGCCACAUUGGGACUGAGACACGGCCCAAACUCCUACGGGAGGCAGCAGUGGGGAAUCUUGCACAAUGGGGGAAACCCUGAUGCAGCGAUGCCGCGUGAGUGAAGAAGGCCUUUGGGUUGUAAAGCUCUUUCGUCGGGGAAGAAAAUGACUGUACCCGAAUAAGAAGGUCCGGCUAACUUCGUGCCAGCAGCCGCGGUAAUACGAAGGGACCUAGCGUAGUUCGGAAUUACUGGGCUUAAAGAGUUCGUAGGUGGUUAAAAUAGUUGGUGGUGAAAUCCCAGAGCUUAACUCUGGAACUGCCAUCAAAACUUUUUAGCUAGAGUAUGAUAGAGGAAAGUGGAAUUUCUAGUGUAGAGGUGAAAUUCGUAGAUAUUAGAAAGAAUACCAAUUGCGAAGGCAGCUUUCUGGGUCAUU